UACAGAGGUCCCGAGCGUUGUUCGGAUUCAUUGGGCGUAAAGGGUGCGUAGGCGGUCUGCUAAGUUUGAUGUGAAAUCCCGGGGCUCAACCCUGGAAUUGCAUUGAAUACUGGUGGACUAGAGUACUGGAGAGGAAACUGGAAUUUACGGUGUAGCAGUGAAAUGCGUAGAGAUCGUAAGGAAGACCAGUGGCGAAGGCGAGUUUCUGGACAGUAACUGACGCUGAGGCACGAAGGCCAGGGGAGCAAACGGG
rnacentral:rRNA from 1 species